UUCAUAUAGUUGGACAAUAUUUGCUGGUACUUUUGGCUAUGCUGCUCCAGCUAUCAAGAAGAGGAUGGAGAAGGAUAUUGAUGAAGUUGGAAAGAUUGCACAUGGUGUCAAAACAAAAAUAGAAGCUAUAAAUAGAUAUGUAAUGAGACAAAGAUAAUGACUUGAUGUUUUAGUAGAUUUUAGUCCUGAAAUUUCAAACAUGAGGAAUUUUUUA